rnacentral:rRNA from 1 species
UACAGAGGGUGCGAGCGUUAAUCGGAAUUACUGGGCGUAAAGCGUGCGUAGACGGUUAUUUAAGUCGGAUGUGAAAUCCCCGGGCUUAACCUGGGAACUGCAUUUGUGACUGCAUAGCUAGAGUACGGUAGAGGGGGAUGGAAUUCCGCGUGUAGCAGUGAAAUGCGUAGAUAUGCGGAGGAACACCGAUGGCGAAGGCAAUCCCCUGGACCUGUACUGACGCUCAUGCACGAAAGCGUGGGGGAGCAAACAGGAUUAGAAACCGGUAACGUUCAUCAAGUCCAGUAC